rnacentral:rRNA from 1 species
GAUGAACGCUGGCGGCGUGCCUAAUACAUGCCAGUCGAGCGAACAGAUGAGGAGCUUGCUCCUCUGACGUUAGCGGCGGACGGGUGAGUAACACGUGGAUAACCUACCUAUAAGACUGGGAUAACUUCGGGAAACCGGAGCUAAUACCGGAUAAUAUAUUGAACCGCAUGGUUUAAUAGUGAAAGACGGUUUUGCUGUCACUUAUAGAUGGAUCCGCGCCGCAUUAGCUAGUUGGUAAGGUAACGGCUUACCAAGGCAACGAUGCGUAGCCGACCUGAGAGGGUGAUCGGCCACACUGGAACUGAGACACGGUCCAGACUCCUACGGGAGGCAGCAGUAGGGAAUCUUCCGCAAUGGGCGAAAGCUUGACGGAGCAACGCCGCGUGAGUGAUGAAGGUCUUCGGAUCGUAAAACUCUGUUAUUAGGGAAGAACAAAUGUGUAAGUAACUAUGCACGUCUUGACGGUACCUAAUCAGAAAGCCACGGCUAACUACGUG